UACUGUGAGAGCUUUAGCCACACAGUAUGGAAUAAUUUUCUGUGAAGGGUCCAAGAAAGUGACAGUGGUAGGCUAUGAGACUGUGGUCUCUGAAGAAUAGUUCAUUCAUCUGUUUUGGUUUAGGCAUAGUUUACUCUAAGGGCACGGAGGGAAGGAUGGGAGAAGGAUACAAUGACGCUUCACGGGGUCUUUGAUCUAUAAUUUACGACAGAGCUGUCUGAUGUAUGUAUGCAAAACCCCAUAGCAAAUCAAUGCAUUUUGUAGAGAAGGUUGGAUUUUUCCAGGUGGGCUAGUCCUGCCUCUCUCCCCUGGCUCACCAAUGAGGAGGAUAUGAGGAUAUGACUAACAUGAGGUUCUGCAGUGCCAUGAAGUGAGGAACAAGAUCCUUCUUGGCAGAUGGGUGGCACAAUCUUUUUUUUUUUUUUUCACUCUUUUGCCCAGGCUGAAGUGCAGUGGUGUGAUCCGUAAUCUCGGCAAACAGAGCUAUCUCCAGCUAUGUUUCCCAGUGCCCAGACUGCCUGAAAAGGGGAUAAUGAAACUGUCACCCACAAAGCUUGGUACUUCUGUGAGUACUUUAUAGCCACAACUGCAAAGUGUCUGUACAAAAAAAAAAAAAAAAUCCACAAAAAUUAGCCGGGCGUGGUGGUACAUGCCUGUAGUCCAGCUACUCAGGAGGCUGAGGAAGAAGGAUCACUUGAGCCCGGGAGCUUGAGGCUGCAGUGAGCUGAGAUCAUGUCACUCACUGCACAUUAUAGUCUCAGGCUGGGCGUGGUGGCUUACGCCUGUAAUCCCAGCACCAUGGGAGGCUGAGGCGGGCAGAUCUGGGCAGAUCACAAGGUCAGGAGUUCGAGACCAGGCUUACUCGGGAGGCUAAGGCAGGAGAAUUGCUUGAACCCAGGAGGCAGAGGUUGCAGUGAGCAGAGAUCGUGCCAUUGCACUCCAGCCUGGGUGACAGAAUCAGACUCCGUCUCAAAAAAAAAGAAAAGAAAAGAAAAGGUAACAAGGAACUAGAACUAGAAUGUUACAGUAAAGACAUAAAUGAUGUCUAAGUUGGUCUAACUUGUGAAAAGGGGAUAAGGUUUUUGAGAUGGAGUUUCACUCUUGUUGCCCAGGCUGGAGUGCAGUGGCACGAUAUCGACUCACUGCAACCUCUGCCUCCUGGGCUCAAGUGAUUCUCCUGCCUCAGCCUUC
rnacentral:lncRNA from 1 species